UCGUGUAUUUUAAAAAAAAAUCUUCUUUGGUAGGGUUCUGUAAUACGUGAACGUGUCUUCUUAGUGCCUGUAGAUCAUUUAUAUGGAUCAUUUGAUAGAUUCCCUCUAAAGAGAUGUUGUUUCAAUGAAUGUGGGGAAAGAGCAGGGACGACUGAGUCGUAAUAGCUGGUAAUUGGUUAUUUGAAUUCAUUGUCAUAUUCAAAUUCCGAUUUGAAAAGGGCCCUUUUGCUUCAGGACAUACCCAAAAUGCUCAACCUUUCCCCGUAAAAUUACUUCUUGUGACUCCACAAAGAUGUUUUCGAUCUUCUUAGACCAUAGUUGCCCUAAUGAUGACAUAUUGUAAACAAGGCUUCUAGUAGAAGAAAGAAGCCCUUCGACAGGUGUUGGCGAUUUAGAUCGCUCAGGGGUUUUUUCGGUGCGGGACGGUCGGGAAUCUCCUGUGAGAGUGCGCUCUGCCAAAGAGGGGCUUAAGAAUCGUGGCCGUGUCAGCAAACCCUAACUUGCGAUGUUUUUGGGACUCUUCUUCCAUCAGUGUUGGCACUGGGAGUUACUUGCAGGCUACGUGACAUGGGGUUGGUGUUUCGGUGGCUGGGUUGCCUCCUGCUCAUCGGCCACGACACUCUUCAGAUUGUGGUGUUGGGAGCUCUGCUCUUGGCUCAAAUGUUGUCCCAUCGUCUCCACCCCUUGGACGGGAAAACUCUUCUAGGUUUGGCGAUCCUUGUCCCCUUGGUUCUGCUAUUCGCAAAUUAAAAUACUUGGAUAGGUUAUGUUGUGCAACGAGAUACUCUUUGGGAAUUCGAUCCGACGACCUAGUGGCUAUCAAUUGAAAAGAGGCUAUUAUGUCAAAGCUUGCAACUUUUAACAAUGGUGAAAUAAAUGCAGAACCAUCAUUGUUGAUAACUGCAGAUCAAAGCCUUGGAUAAUUGCAGCAUAGCCAGACAAAUUUCUGGUCUUAUUCUCCUCAUGCAGAAUUACAUCAUAUUAUUAGCGGUAAUUUAACCUGGAGGAUUAACAAGAGGGAAAUCUAUGGGGAUAAAAUGGAGGAGUUUUCACAACGGUCUUGUUACCGUUCAGGGUAGUGCAAUUCUGAGGGUGACUUCAGAGAGCUAGACAAAAAAACUGGGUUGACUAUAGAUGAACAACUUUAAAUUUGAGUCUCUUGCAUCUAUUGUAUUCUUGAGUCUUAAAAGAAACCUAUGGGAGGGGCAGCUGAAAGGAGGUGAAAGUGACAUGAUUGUGAAGGACAAAAUUUUGACAUCAGGGUUAAGAUAUAUUGUCACUAAAGUUGCUAUAGUUUAGCUCAAACAUAAAUCUGGAGGUUCACACUGAGGAUUAGAAUUAGACCAUGGAGUUGCAAAUUCACAAACAUAAAUGUAUCAUUCAAAUUUUUUGUACAUUCUCUUUGUGUUGCAUAGAGCUGGCUAGAUAUUCUAAGGUUUUGUCUAAGAAACACAGUUAUUUUAUUUUCAAGGCAACACAAAGUUGUUUAAUACAAAAACACAAAAUGGAUUGCAAAAUGGUCACAUGUUCUCAAGCAUUAUUUAGACUUAAAACUCACUACUAAACCAAAAGGUGUUUUGAGACCCAAAAUUCUGAAUGAUAAAAUUAUUCUUUAAAGGGUGCUAGUUCAAAUGCAAGAGCAUCUCCUUUACAAGCAGGAGGAUGGUGGUUCACUACUAAACCAAAGCGUGUUUUGAUACCCAAAAUUUUGAAUGAUAAAAUUUUUCUUUAAAGGGUGCUAGCUCAAAUGGAAGAGCACCUGCUUUACAAGCAGGAGGAUUGUGGUUCAAUUCCAUUGUGCCCU